AGCAGCCGCGGUAAUUCCAGCUCCAAUAGCGUAUAUUAAAGUUGUUGCAGUUAAAAAGCUCGUAGUUGAAUUUCGGGGUUAGUAGGUUGGUCAUGCCUCUGGUAUGUACUGGUCUCACUGAUUCCUCCUUCCUGAUGAACCUUAAUGCCAUUAAUUUGGUGUUUGGGGAAUUUGGACUGUUACUUUGAAAAAUUAGAGUGUUUAAAGCAAGCUAACGCUUGAAUACAUUAGCAUGGAAUAAUGAAAUAGGACGUUCGAUCCUAUUUUGUUGGUUUCUAGGAUUGACGUAAUGAUUAAUAGGGAUAGGUUGGGGCAUUAGUAUUCAAUUGUCAGAGGUG
rnacentral:rRNA from 1 species